rnacentral:rRNA from 1 species
UACGUAGGGUGCGAGCGUUGUCCGGAAUUAUUGGGCGUAAAGGGCUCGUAGGCGGUCUGUCACGUCGGGAGUGAAAACACGGGGCUUAACCCCGUGCCUGCUUCCGAUACGGGCAGACUAGAGGUAUGCAGGGGAGAACGGAAUUCCUGGUGUAGCGGUGAAAUGCGCAGAUAUCAGGAGGAACACCGGUGGCGAAGGCGGGUCUCUGGGCCGUUACUGACGCUGAGGAGCGAAAGCGUGGGGAGCGAACAGG